rnacentral:rRNA from 1 species
AACGAACGCUGGCGGCAGGCUUAACACAUGCAAGUCGAACGCACCGCAAGGUGAGUGGCAGACGGGUGAGUAACGCGUGGGAACGUGCCCUUCAGUUCGGAAUAACCCAGGGAAACUUGGGCUAAUACCGGAUACGUGCGAGAGCAGAAAGAUUUAUCGCUGAAGGAUCGGCCCGCGUCUGAUUAGCUAGUUGGUGAGGUAAUGGCUCACCAAGGCGACGAUCAGUAGCNGGUCUGAGAGGAUGAUCAGCCACAUUGGGACUGAGACACGGCCCAAACUCCUACGGGAGGCAGCAGUGGGGAAUAUUGGACAAUGGGCGCAAGCCUGAUCCAGCCAUGCCGCGUGAGUGAUGAAGGCCUUAGGGUUGUAAAGCUCUUUCGUCCGGGGACGAUAAUGACGGUACCGGAAGAAGAAGCCCCGGCUAACUUCGUGCCAGCCGCCGCAGUAAC